CCUUGUCAGGCUGACAAUAAAAUCAACUAUCGAUUAUAUGAUUUUGAGCUUGUAUCCACUAUUGUUGUUCAAUGAUAUUCACUGUCCUCCCGGCUCCCGAUAAGUUAAGCUAACUAAAUUUAGCGUGCUAGCUAGCAUGGCGAGUUGCCAUUAACUAGCUAGCUACAAACGUCAGCCAGCAAUGCAAAAUCAGAAUGAUAUGGCAGUAACUACUUCAUUACCAGGCUAUCUAGUUAAAUUACAGGAAACCAGCCAUCAAGUACAUAUAAUUGAGUUGUAUCAUUGUCAACACAAGUUUUUUGUUUUAUUUUUCGUUUUAAAGAACAGGAAAUUGAUGGAGACUACUGGGCCUCACUGAACGGAUGGUUGAAGAACUAUCCCCGUCUAUGAAAUUGCAGGUGAUGUUUGUGAAGGAACUGAACUAGCUCCUAGAACAACAUGAAGUUGGAUUGCCCCUGGACCAUGCUGACAGCAUAGGCAAAAGACUGUCCUGUCUAGACUGUCCUGUGCCAGUGUUGAGAAUGAUGCUUCGACAAAGACCAUGCUCGUCUUCUUUGACCCAACCAUGGCUAACAGUAUUCAGUCUGCCCACCUUCCCCCCAGAAAAAGUACCCAAACCAUAAAAAAUAUACAGAUGUUCUGGGAUCUCAUCACCAGAUUUCCGUUUCUUGGAGAACACAGCUCCUCUGGUAUGUUCUUUCCCAACUGUUAUGCAAAACAUUAUUCCUCAGUUCAAUUUCUAUACUACUUUGAUUUUGUGCCAGCCUCAUAAUUUAUGUCUAUACCCACAGGAGACCCUACUUGAGUGUCUGAGGAACAAAAUAAAAAAAGAAAGGUCACCUUUAGGCAACUUGACGUCCAGGAAAUUAAGAGAAAGUUUGGUGCUGGAAGAAACAGAAUUGUGGACCAUGUGCCUCUGGAGGAACCACCUGGACAUCAGAGAGAAAAUAAGUGCAGAUUGGAAAACGCAGUCCAGAUGCUUUCUGGGAAUUAUCCAACACAAGAGGUUUGCAAUAUUUUUGUGAAUGAGAUACGGAAUUAUAUUCUCUAUUGUUUAAACAAGGUAUGUGUUGGUUUUUAA